GGGUUGUGAGGUUAAGCGACUAAGCGUACACGGUGGAUGCCCUGGCAGUCAGAGGCGAUGAAGGACGUGCUAAUCUGCGAAAAGCGUCGGUAAGGUGAUAUGAACCGUUAUAGCCGGCGAUGUCCGAAUGGGGAAACCCAGUGUGAUUCGUCACACUAUCGUUAACUGAAUACAUAGGUUAACGAGGCGAACCGGGGGAACUGAAACAUCUAAGUACCCCGAGGAAAAGAAAUCAACCGAGAUUCCCCCAGUAGCGGCGAGCGAACGGGGAGCAGCCCAGAGUCUGAAUCAGCUUGUGUGUUAGUGGAACGGUCUGGAAAGUCCGACGGUACAGGGUGAUAGUCCCGUACACCAAAAUGCACAGGCUGUGAACUCGAAGAGUAGGGCGGGACACGUGGUAUCCUGUCUGAAUAUGGGGGGACCAUCCUCCAAGGCUAAAUACUCCUGACUGACCGAUAGUGAACCAGUACCGUGAGGGAAAGGCGAAAAGAACCCCGGCGAGGGGAGUGAAAAAGAACCUGAAACCGUGUACGUACAAGCAGUGGGAGCACCUUCGGGUGUGACUGCGUACCUUUUGUAUAAUGGGUCAGCGACUUAUAUUCUGUAGCAAGGUUAACCGUAUAGGGGAGCCGCAGGGAAACCGAGUCUUAACUGGGCGUUAAGUUGCAGGGUAUAGACCCGAAACCCGGUGAUCUAGCCAUGGGCAGGUUGAAGGUUGGGUAACACUAACUGGAGGACCGAACCGACUAAUGUUGAAAAAUUAGCGGAUGACUUGUGGCUGGGGGUGAAAGGCCAAUCAAACCGGGAGAUAGCUGGUUCUCCCCGAAAGCUAUUUAGGUAGCGCCUCGUGAAUUCAUCUUCGGGGGUAGAGCACUGUUUCGGCUAGGGGGUCAUCCCGACUUACCAACCCGAUGCAAACUACGAAUACCGAAGAAUGUUAUCACGGGAGACACACGGCGGGUGCUAACGUCCGUCGUGAAGAGGGAAACAACCCAGACCGCCAGCUAAGGUCCCAAAGUCACAGUUAAGUGGGAAACGAUGUGGGAAGGCACAGACAGCCAGGAUGUUGGCUUAGAAGCAGCCAUCAUUUAAAGAAAGCGUAAUAGCUCACUGGUCGAGUCGGCCUGCGCGGAAGAUGUAACGGGGCUAAACUGUGCACCGAAGCUGCGGCAGCGACACUAUGUGUUGUUGGGUAGGGGAGCGUUCUGUAAGCCUGCGAAGGUGGCCUGUGAGGGUUGCUGGAGGUAUCAGAAGUGCGAAUGCUGACAUAAGUAACGAUAAUGCGGGUGAAAAGCCCGCACGCCGGAAGACCAAGGGUUCCUGUCCAACGUUAAUCGGGGCAGGGUGAGUCGACCCCUAAGGCGAGGCCGAAAGGCGUAGUCGAUGGGAAACAGGUUAAUAUUCCUGUACUUGGUGUUACUGCGAAGGGGGGACGGAGAAGGCUAUGUUAGCCGGGCGACGGUUGUCCCGGUUUAAGCAUGUAGGCGGAGGUUCCAGGUAAAUCCGGUACCUUUUUAACGCUGAGGUGUGAUGACGAGGCACUACGGUGCUGAAGUAACAAAUGCCCUGCUUCCAGGAAAAGCCUCUAAGCAUCAGGUAACAUUAAAUCGUACCCCAAACCGACACAGGUGGUCAGGUAGAGAAUACCAAGGCGCUUGAGAGAACUCGGGUGAAGGAACUAGGCAAAAUGGUGCCGUAACUUCGGGAGAAGGCACGCUGAUAUGUAGGUGAAGCCCCUGCGGGUGGAGCUGAAAUCAGUCGAAGAUACCAGCUGGCUGCAACUGUUUAUUAAAAACACAGCACUGUGCAAACACGAAAGUGGACGUAUACGGUGUGACGCCUGCCCGGUGCCGGAAGGUUAAUUGAUGGGGUUAUCCGUAAGGAGAAGCUCUUGAUCGAAGCCCCGGUAAACGGCGGCCGUAACUAUAACGGUCCUAAGGUAGCGAAAUUCCUUGUCGGGUAAGUUCCGACCUGCACGAAUGGCGUAAUGAUGGCCAGGCUGUCUCCACCCGAGACUCAGUGAAAUUGAACUCGCUGUGAAGAUGCAGUGUACCCGCGGCAAGACGGAAAGACCCCGUGAACCUUUACUAUAGCUUGACACUGAACAUUGAGCCUUGAUGUGUAGGAUAGGUGGGAGGCUUUGAAGCGUGGACGCCAGUCUGCGUGGAGCCAACCUUGAAAUACCACCCUUUAAUGUUUGAUGUUCUAACGUUGGCCCCUUAUCGGGGUUGCGGACAGUGUCUGGUGGGUAGUUUGACUGGGGCGGUCUCCUCCCAAAGAGUAACGGAGGAGCACGAAGGUUAGCUAAUCCUGGUCGGACAUCAGGAGGUUAGUGCAAUGGCAUAAGCUAGCUUGACUGCGAGCGUGACGGCGCGAGCAGGUGCGAAAGCAGGUCAUAGUGAUCCGGUGGUUCUGAAUGGAAGGGCCAUCGCUCAACGGAUAAAAGGUACUCCGGGGAUAACAGGCUGAUACCGCCCAAGAGUUCAUAUCGACGGCGGUGUUUGGCACCUCGAUGUCGGCUCAUCACAUCCUGGGGCUGAAGUAGGUCCCAAGGGUAUGGCUGUUCGCCAUUUAAAGUGGUACGCGAGCUGGGUUUAGAACGUCGUGAGACAGUUCGGUCCCUAUCUGCCGUGGGCGCUGGAGAAUUGAGGGGGGCUGCUCCUAGUACGAGAGGACCGGAGUGGACGCAUCACUGGUGUUCGGGUUGUCAUGCCAAUGGCAUUGCCCGGUAGCUAAAUGCGGAAGAGAUAAGUGCUGAAAGCAUCUAAGCACGAAACUUGCCCCGAGAUGAGUUCUCCCUGAGACUUAAAGUCUCCUGAAGGAACGUUAAAGACGAUGACGUUGAUAGGUCGGGUGUGUAAGCGUAGCGAUACGUUGAGCUAACCGAUACUAAUGAACCGUGAGGCUUAACCUUACAACGCCGAAG
rnacentral:rRNA from 1 species